rnacentral:ncRNA from 1 species
UCGAUAGAGGUGCGGCGUGCAUCAGUAUCUCCUGCCAUUCGGGACGGGCUCCCGGCGGGGAGAAAGGGUAGGCUGCCGAAGGAUUUCAAAUGCCCGGUUUUGGAGUCCUGGGACGAUGGGAAAAUAUCCCUCGUACUGUCACAUUAUGUGGAGCGCUAUCA